rnacentral:tRNA from 1 species
GUUUCUGUAGUGUAGUGGUUAUCACAUUCGUCUCACAUGUGAAAUGUCCCUGAUUCUAUACAGGCAGAAGCA